rnacentral:rRNA from 1 species
UAUGAACGCUGGCGGCAUGCCUAACACAUGCAAGUCGAACGAAGGCUUCGGCCUUAGUGGCGCACGGGUGCGUAACGCGUGGGAAUCUGCCCUCAGGUUCGGAAUAACAGCGAGAAAUUGCUGCUAAUACCGGAUGAUAUCGCGAGAUCAAAGAUUUAUCGCCUGAGGAUGAGCCCGCGUAGGAUUAGCUAGUUGGUGUGGUAAAGGCGCACCAAGGCGACGAUCCUUAGCUGGUCUGAGAGGAUGAUCAGCCACACUGGGCCUGAGACACGGCCCAGACUCCUACGGGAGGCAGCAGUGGGGAAUAUUGGACAAUGGGCGAAAGCCUGAUCCAGCAAUGCCGCGUGAGUGAUGAAGGCCUUAGGGUUGUAAAGCUCGUUUACCCGGGAUGAUAAUGCCAGUACCGGGAGAAUAAGCUCCGGCUAACUCCGUGCCAGCCGCCGCAGUAA